GAUGAACGCUGGCGGCGUGCCUAAUACAUGCAAGUCGAGCGAACAGACGAGGAGCUUGCUCCUCUGACGUUAGCGGCGGACGGGUGAGUAACACGUGGAUAACCUACCUAUAAGACUGGGAUAACUUCGGGAAACCGGAGCUAAUACCGGAUAAUAUAUUGAACCGCAUGGUUCAAUAGUGGAAGACGGUUUUGCUGUCACUUAUAGAUGGAUCCGCGCCGCAUUAGCUAGUUGGUAAGGUAACGGCUUACCAAGGCGACGAUGCGUAGCCGACCUGAGAGGGUGAUCGGCCACACUGGAACUGAGACACGGUCCAGACUCCUACGGGAGGCAGCAGUAGGGAAUCUUCCGCAAUGGGCGAAAGCCUGACGGAGCAACGCCGCGUGAGUGAUGAAGGUCUUCGGAUCGUAAAACUCUGUAAUUAGGGAAGAACAAAUGUGUAAGUAACUAUGCACGUCUUGACGGUACCUAAUCAGAAAGCCACGGCUAACUACGUG
rnacentral:rRNA from 1 species